rnacentral:sRNA from 1 species
AGAGUAGAGGAGGGAUUUGAGAGCUAUUAAGGAUAUCUUGGUGACUGAGGGUACAUGGGAAGUUUGGACAAAAGGCAACCUCCCGACUUCUAGUAAAUUACCCAGAGCCCUAUCGUUCUCAGAUAUUGGAUUAUCUCUUUAAGCCGAAUUUUGGUGCCUCUUUGCAUAUUUUAAAAGUGGAAAUAGGUGGUGAUGGGCAGACAACAGACGGCACUGAGCCCUCCCACAUGCACUAUGCACUAGAUGAGAAUUAUUUCCGAGGAUAUGAGUGGUGGUUGAUGAAAGAAGCUAAGAAGAGGAAUCCCAAUAUUACACUCAUUGGGUUGCCAUGGUCAUUCCCUGGAUGGCUGGGAAAAGGUUUCGACUGGCCUUAUGUCAAUCUUCAGCUGACUGCCUAUUAUGUCGUGACCUGGAUUGUGGGCGCCAAGCGUUACCAUGAUUUGGACAUUGAUUAUAUUGGAAUUUGGAAUGAGAGGUCAUAUAAUGCCAAUUAUAUUAAGAUAUUAAGAAAAAUGCUGAAUUAUCAAGGUCUCCAGCGAGUGAAAAUCAUAGCAAGUGAUAAUCUCUGGGAGUCCAUCUCUGCAUCCAUGCUCCUUGAUGCCGAACUGUUCAAGGUGGUUGAUGUUAUAGG